rnacentral:lncRNA from 1 species
AUGUUGAGUGUGGCCGAAAGGUGGGAGCGAAAUAAAACAAGGAGCAGAACCGCGAAGAAGCCAUGUUUGGUGCGUCGAAGUUUAAACUCGUAGGACUUGGGAGGAGCCAAGGUAUAUCCGCAGAAGAGACCACCCCUGCCCUUUCGCUUUGACGCUCAUUGGGCCUUUUGGCUGCGCAUUUCACCCCGGGCUGAGAAAACAAGCUGGGGAUUCGACAAGAAUGAACUCAAAGUCUGGAAACGGCAGCUUCUGAGAGUUUACAAUGUUUCACCAACUGUCGUCCAAAUAAGUCGUCACCCCUGUCAGAGUAGUUGCAGCUCUGCCGUUACCCACUGCUGUCACUGUGGCCGUUUUAUUCGCGAGGGUUACAGUUCUGUUUAGCAUGCAUCUAAUGACUUAAGACUCCACGCAAGUAAAACGGAGUUUCCUCCCAUUAAGUAUUGGCUUUGCUUUAACAGUGCUUUGAGAGGCUCUCUGUGGCCAACAUAUCUUCUCAUAUCUUUGUCCUCGUUUCCCAAUCUCCGCGUGGUGAAAUCAUCUAUCAAGACUUGGCUUAAAGGACCUCUCUUCUGCAAAUAAUGCCAUCUUCCGCUAGGUGCUCACUGCACACAGACUCGCCGCCCACCACUUCUGUCCACCUUCUGAACUCCGAUAGUUAUUUACCCAGAGACUGUUUCUCAUCUUUAAGUGUCGUGAAGACUUUAAGAUCUGUUUUAUCUCUCUAUACCCCAAAAUGGCCUAGCACAGUAACUAGGACAUUGUAGGUGCUCAAUAAAUGUUUGUCGAAUAUCAAUGACAGCAGGAGGCAGUAAAUGGUCCCUCUUUGUAGGGCCUACAGCUGUGCCUGAGUAGGAUGUACAGAAGUCCUGCAUACGUGUGAAGUGUCUCCAGGAAGCUGCACUGGAGGGGACAGGAAAUGGACAAAUGCUUUUGGAAUCCUGAUCUGACAUGAAAAAAGUUCACCUGAAGCUGCCAUCCUGGAAGACUAUGAGAUGGAGAUGCCCAAGAAGCCCCAGGUAUUCCUAAUCCCAAUUGUUUAAGUCUUUCCAGUGUUAACCACCAGACAUGUGAUGGAUUAAGGACUCCAGAUUAUUCCAGUUCCCAGCUGUCUUAGUCAGGGUUCUCCGGAGAAGUUAUCACAUGAUUACAGAGGCUGGCAAGUCUGACGUCUGCAGGGUAGACCAGCAAGUCAGAGACCCAUGGAAGUUGAUGUUGCAGCUCAAGUCCAAAGGCAAUCUGCUGGCAGAAUCCUCUCUUCUGUUUCCUCAGUGUGUUUUUACUUAAGAAACUGAUUGGAUGAGCCCCACCCACAUUAUGGAGGGAAAUUGCCAGUGCUCUGGAUGCAAAUGGAUUUUUCCUUAGGAAUUCAGAGUUGCUGAGUUUUGCAUCAAGACUGAAAGAGGCCAAAAAGAGAAGCUGUGUGGUAGGACUGUGUGAUGACUCAUCCUACUCAAAAUUCUCUAGACUCGGUUUGUGCAAUAUUGGAUUCUACAAUGCUGAGCAAGGGAAGAAAAGUGUUUAAAGGAGAGCCACAAAUAAGAAUAUAUAGGUUGAAUAUAAACUUUAUAGAGCCUGAAUAGAUUGGAAUGGAAUAGAUGGAGGCUUCACACUCCUUCCCACAUGCAUUGUCCUAUGCAUCUCUUCAUCUGGUGUUCAUCGGUAUCCUUUGUAAUAUCCUUUAUAAUAAGCUAGUAAAUGUGA